rnacentral:tRNA from 2 species
GGCCGGUUAGCUCAGCUGGUUAGAGCGUGGUGCUAAUAACGUCAAGGUCGCGGGUUCGAUCCCCGUACUGGCCA